CCGCUACCGUCAGGAUCCGUCUCAUCUGUGGGCUGCCACUGUAUGGACAAACGCAACGCAGUGGAAAAUCUUCGGCAUCCUUCCGUGUGAGGAGCACCUGUUAAGGCAUCAGCCAGCACGAUGCUAUUUCUGGGAGAAGAGGGAACAAUAAACUAGAAAAUGGUAUUGCCAAGUGCAAUA